UUACGGCCACAUCACGUUGAAACACCGAUUCCCGUACGAUCACCAAACUUAAGCAACGUUCUGCCUGGUCAGUAGAUGGGUGACCGCUUGGGAAUGCGAUGUGCUGCAAG